ACUCCUACGGGAGGCAGCAGUGGGGAAUAUUGCACAAUGGAGGAAACUCUGAUGCAGCAACGCCGCGUGGAGGAUGACGCAUUUCGGUGUGUAAACUCCUUUUAUAUGGGAAGAUAAUGACGGUACCAUAUGAAUAAGCACCGGCUAACUCCGUGCCAGCAGCCGCGGUAAUACGGAGGGUGCAAGCGUUACUCGGAAUCACUGGGCGUAAAGCGCAUGCAGGCGGUUUAAUAAGUUGGAAGUGAAAGCCUAUGGCUCAACCAUAGAACUGCUUCCAAAACUGUUAGACUAGAGUCUGGGAGGGGAAGAUGGAAUUAGUAGUGUAGGGGUAAAAUCCGUAGAGAUUACUAGGAAUACCAAAAGCGAAGGCGAUCUUCUGGAACAGUACUGACGCUGAGAUGCGAAAGCGUGGGGAGCAAACAGGAUUAGAUACCCUGGUAGUCCACGCAGUAAACGAUGAAUGUUAGUCGUUGGUGUCCUAGAGACAUCAGUGAUGCAGUUAACACAUUAAACAUUCCGCCUGGGGAGUACGGUCGCAAGAUUAAAACUCAAAGGAAUAGACGGGGACCCGCACAAGUGGUGGAGCAUGUGGUUUAAUUCGAAGAUACGCGAAGAACCUUACCUAGCCUUGACAUAUUUUAGAACUCAGCAGAGAUGCAGAGGUGCCUUCGGGAGCUAAUAUACAGGUGCUGCACGGCUGUCGUCAGCUCGUGUCGUGAGAUGUUGGGUUAAGUCCCGCAACGAGCGCAACCCUCGUCACUAGUUACUAACGAUUCGGUCGAGGACUCUAGUGAGACUGCCUUCGUAAGGAGGAGGAAGGUGAGGACGACGUCAAGUCAUCAUGGCCCUUACGGCUAGGGCAACACACGUGCUACAAUGGUUAGGACAAUGAGAGGCGAUACCGCGAGGUGGAGCAAAUCUAUAAAACCUAAUCUCAGUUCGGA
rnacentral:rRNA from 1 species